GGGAUAACUAGUCGAAAGAUUAGCUAAUACCGCAUACGACCUGAGGGUGAAAGUGGGGGACCGCAAGGCCUCAUGCUAUAGGAGCGGCCGAUGUCUGAUUAGCUAGUUGGUGAGGUAAAGGCUCACCAAGGCGACGAUCAGUAGCUGGUCUGAGAGGACGAUCAGCCACACUGGGACUGAGACACGGCCCAGACUCCUACGGGAGGCAGCAGUGGGGAAUUUUGGACAAUGGGCGAAAGCCUGAUCCAGCAAUGCCGCGUGUGUGAAGAAGGCCUUCGGGUUGUAAAGCACUUUUGUCCGGAAAGAAAUGGCUCUGGUUAAUACCUGGGGUCGAUGACGGUACCGGAAGAAUAAGGACCGGCUAACUACGUGCCAGCAGCCGCGGUAAUACGUAGGGUCCAAGCGUUAAUCGGAAUUACUGGGCGUAAAGCGUGCGCAGGCGGUUGUGCAAGACCGAUGUGAAAUCCCCGAGCUUAACUUGGGAAUUGCAUUGGUGACUGCACGGCUAGAGUGUGUCAGAGGGGGGUAGAAUUCCACGUGUAGCAGUGAAAUGCGUAGAGAUGUGGAGGAAUACCGAUGGCGAAGGCAGCCCCCUGGGAUAACACUGACGCUCAUGCACGA
rnacentral:rRNA from 1 species